UCCCGCUAAAAGACAACAGCGAUUAUUUAACUGUCGUCAUCAGCAGCAAUGGACUUUGACGAACCGUUACCAGUCUUCUUUGGCAACAAGAGAUUGUGAAUGUUAGGCAUCACGUCACCGUUGGAUAUUGUAACAGCACCAAGCAACUUG